rnacentral:rRNA from 1 species
GCAAGUCGAGCGCUCACUUCGGUGGGAGCGGCGGACGGGUUAGUAACGCGUGGGAACGUACCCAGAUCUAAGGAAUAGCCACUGGAAACGGUGAGUAAUACCUUAUACGCCCUUCGGGGGAAAGAUUUAUCGGUGAAGGAUUGGCCCGCGUUAGAUUAGAUAGUUGGUGGGGUAAUGGCCUACCAAGUCUACGAUCUAUAGCUGGUUUGAGAGGAUGAUC